ensembl:lncRNA
UGACCAUCAGUGACCAGAGUGACCAUCAGUGACCAUCAGUGACCAUCACUGACCAUCACUGACCACCACUGACCAUCACUGACCAUCACUGACCAGAGUGACCAUCACUGACCAUCACUGACCAUCACUGACCAUCACUGACCAUCAGUGACCAUCACUGACCAUCACUGACCAUCACUGACCAUCAGUGACCAUCACUGACCAUCACUGACCAUCACUGACCAUCAGUGACCAUCAGUGACCAGAGUGACCAUUACUGACCAUCAGUGACCAUCAGUGACCAUCACUGACCAUCACUGACCAUCACUGACCACCACUGACCAUCACUGACCAUCACUGACCAUCAGUGACCAUCAGUGACCAGAGUGACCACUGACCAUCACUGGCCAUUACUCUGGGCUGUACUGGGAGCACUGGGAUCCCUCAGAUCCCAGACUGGAGCGUCCCAGGUGUGUCCAGGUGUGUCCCCAGGUGUGUCCAGGUGUGUCCCAGGUGUGUCCCCAUGUCCCCCCAGGUGUCCCCAGCUGUCCCCAGGUGUUCCCAGGUGUGUCCAGGUGUGUCCCAGGUGUGUCCCCAUGUCCCCCCAGGUGUCCCCAGGUGUCUCAGGUGUAUCUCAGGUGUCCCCAGGUGUGUCCCAAUGUCCCCCCAUGUCCCCCCAUGUCCCCCCAGGUGUCCCCAGGUGUGUCUCAGGUAUCUCAGGUGUGUCCCAGGUGUAUCUCAGGUGUCCCAGGUGUCCCCAGUUGUCCCCAGGUGUGUCCCCAUGUCCCCCCAGGUGUCCCCAGGUGUCCCCAGGUGUCCCCAGGUGUAUCUCAGGUGUCCCCAGGUGUGUCACAGACCUGCAGCAGCAGGUGACAGAUCUCCAGGUGUCCUUUCUGCGCGGCCGCGUGCAGCGCCGAGCGCUUG